AUUACUGUCUCACCCUAUAAGCUCUUUGCACCAAAUACCAGUUUCCCUUCCCAUCUGGCUGUUUUCUGUCUGUACAUCGCAAGAGCACA